GGCUCAGAUUGAACGCUGGCGGCAUGCUUUACACAUGCAAGUCGAACGGCAGCGACGGGGGCUUGCUCCUGGUGGCGAGUGGCGAACGGGUGAGUAAUGCAUCGGAACGUACCCAGUAGUGGGGGAUAGCCCGGCGAAAGCCGGAUUAAUACCGCAUAUUUCCUGAGGGAGAAAGGCGGGGGACCUUCGGGCCUCGCGCUACUGGAGCGGCUGAUGUCGGAUUAGCUAGUUGGUGAGGUAAAGGCUCACCAAGGCGACGAUCCGUAGCUGGUCUGAGAGGAUGAUCAGCCACACUGGGACUGAGACACCGGCCCAGACUCCUACGGGAGGCAGCAGGUGGGGAAUUCUGGACAAUGGGGGCAACCCUGAUCCAGCCAUGCCGCGUGAGUGAAGAAGGCCUUCGGGUUGUAAAGCUCUUUCAGGUGGAAAGAAAUCACUACCCCGAAUACGGGUGGUGGAUGACGGUACCAUCAGAAGAAGCACCGGCUAACUACGUG
rnacentral:rRNA from 1 species